AUGAAAGAAACUAUCAUGAACCAAGAGAAACUCGCCAAACUGCAGGCACAAGUGCACAGUGGUGGGAAAGGAACUGCUCGCAGAAAGAAGAAGGUGGUUCAUAGAACAGCUGCAGCAGAUGAUAAAAAACUUCAGUUCUCCUUAAGGAAAAUAGGGGUAAACAAUAUCUCUGGUAUCAAAGAGGUGAAUAUGUUUACAAACCAAGGAACAGUGAUCCACUUUAACAACCCUAAAGUUCAGGCAUCUCUGGCAGCAAACACUAUCACCAUUACAGGCCAUGCUGAGACCAAGCAGCUGACAGAAAUGCUACCCAGCAUCUUAAACCAGCUUGGUGCAGACAGUCUGACUAGCUGGAGGAGGCAGGCUGAAGCUCUGCCUGAACAAUCUGUGGAUGGAAAAGCACCACUUGCUACUGGAGAGGAUGAUGAUGGUGAAGUUCUAGAUCUUGUGCAGAGUUUUGAUGAGGCUCCAAGAAUGAGGCAAACUGAAUUGAGUCAACUUCUGAAAUGA